UACGUAGGGUGCAAGCGUUAAUCGGAAUUACUGGGCGUAAAGCGUGCGCAGGCGGUUAUGCAAGACAGAUGUGAAAUCCCCGGGCUCAACCUGGGAACUGCAUUUGUGACUGCAUGGCUGGAGUGCGGCAGAGGGGGGUGGAAUGCCGCGUGUAGCAGUGAAAUGCGUAGAGAUGCGGCGGAACACCGAUGGCGAAGGCAGCCCCCUGGGCUGAGAUUGACGCUCAGGCACGAAAGCGUGGGGAGCAAACAGG
rnacentral:rRNA from 1 species